rnacentral:rRNA from 1 species
AUUGAACGCUGGCGGCAGGCCUAACACAUGCAAGUCGAGCGGAUGAAGGGAGCUUGCUCCUGGAUUCAGCGGCGGACGGGUGAGUAAUGCCUAGGAAUCUGCCUUGUAGUGGGGGAUAACGUCCGGAAACGGGCGCUAAUACCGCAUACGUCCUGAGGGAGAAAGUGGGGGAUCUUCGGACCUCACGCUAUCAGAUGAGCCUAGGUCGGAUUAGCUAGUUGGUGGGGUAAAGGCCUACCAAGGCGACGAUCCGUAACUGGUCUGAGAGGAUGAUCAGUCACACUGGAACUGAGACACGGUCCAGACUCCUACGGGAGGCAGCAGUGGGGAAUAUUGGACAAUGGGCGAGAGCCUGAUACAGCCAUGCCGCGUGUGUGAAGAAGGUCUUCGGAUUGUAAAGCACUUUAAGUUGGGAGGAAGGGCAGUAAGUUAAUACCUUGCUGUAUUGACGUUACCAACAGAAUAAGCACCGGCUAACUUCGUG